UGAAUACGAGAUGCUAAGGCGUCGAAGUAGUGUAUGUCAUACUUCCAAGAAAAGCUUGCACUGUCAUAGAUAAAAAACGCCUGUACCAUAACCGACACAGGUGGGUAGGUAGAGUAUACUAAGGGGCGCGAGAUAACUCUCUCUAAGGAACACGGCAAAAUAACUCCGUAACUUCGGGAGAAGGAGUGCCUUAUUCUUAAGGUUGCAAUAACAAGAUCCAAGCAACUGUUUAUCAAAAACACAGGUCUCCGCUAAGUCGUAAGACGAUGUAUGGGGGCUGACGCCUGCCCAGUGCCAGAAGGUUAAAGAAGCUGGUUAGCAUUUGCGAAGCUAGUAACUGGAGCCCUGGUGAACGGCGGCCGUAACUAUAACGGUCCUAAGGUAGCGAAAUUCCUUGUCGGGUAAGUUCCGACCCGCACGAAAGGCGUAAUGAUUUGGAUACUGUCUCGGAGAGGGGCUCGGUGAAAUAGACUUGUCUGUGAAGAUGCGGACUACCUGCACCAGGACAGAAAGACCCUAUGAAGCUUUACUGUAACUUGAAAUUGAAAUUGGACUUUAUUCGCGCAGUAUAGGUGGGAGGCGUUGAUUAUAAUCUUGCGGGAUUAUUGGAGCCAUUAGUGAGAUACCACUCUUGUAAUGUUAGAUUUCUAACUUUGAAUCAUUAUCUGGUCAAAGAACAGUUUCAGGCGGGCAGUUUGACUGGGGCGGUCGCCUCCUAAACGGUAACGGAGGCGUACAAAGGUUUCCUCUGAACGGUUAGAAAUCGUAUCUAGAGUGUAAAGGCAUAAGGAAGCUUGACUGUGAGACCUACAAGUCGAGCAGGGACGAAAGUCGGUCUUAGUGAUCUGACGGUACUGAGUGGAAAGGCCGUCACUCAACGGAUAAAAGUUACUCUAAGGAUAACAGGCUGAUCUCCCCCAAGAGUUCACAUCGACGGGGAGGUUUGGCACCUCGAUGUCGGCUCAUCGCAUCCUGGGGCGGUAGUACGUCCCAAGGGUUGGGCUGUUCGCCCAUGAAAGCGGUACGCGAGCUGGGUUCAGAACGUCGUGAGACAGUUCGGUCCAUAUCCGGUGUAGGCGUUAGAAUAUUGAGAGGAGCCUUCUUUAGUACGAGAGGACCGAGAAGGACAUACCUCUGGUGUACCAGUUAUCGUGCCAACGGUAAACGCUGGGUAGCUAUGUAUGGAGUGGAUAACCGCUGAAAGCAUCUAAGUGGGAAGCCCACCUCAAGAUAAGUAUUCUC
rnacentral:rRNA from 1 species